GCACUGUGAAAGGUGGUGGGCUGCCUGGAGCGCAUCACAUCCGUCUGUUUGUAACUAAUUUGGCUGUAGUCUCUUCAUUGUUCUGAAUUUGUGUUCUCCACACUCUGGGUUUAACUCCACACUCUGGGUUUAACUCAGGGUUUUAACAAUGGCUGCUCAGUGCCCUCCCCGAUGUCUGCAAUUCCCACACACAAGUGUUGAGUGGUGACAAGAGUUAGUGUGCCCAGCUUAGCAUGGGUGCUUGUUGGAGUGGCCCAUGACUGAUGAGCUGGGCAGAGUAACUCCUUGGUUUGUUUUGUGCCCCGAUGCUGUUUGGUAUUUUACAUUUCACAAUUGGAUGCAUUAGCCCUGUGUCUCUGUUGAGCCGUGUUUUUACCCCUUGUGAUUUCCCACAGCUUCAGUUUUCAGACUUCCAUUCACACAGCUGCUGCCUCCCACCCGGGAUGCAUCCCUGGUGAAUAUUUCCUUUUUUUUUUUCCCUCUGCCCUUUUAAGGCGCUGUUUGUUUGCAAGAUAAUGACUAGAUGUGGCAACCCCUUCUUUCCUUACGCUCACCUGCAGACACACAGCUGGCUCCAAAACCAGCUCUACAGGAGCAGAGAGCAGCAGAGGGUGCUCUUGUGAGCUGGGUGCCUGCAGAGCCUGCUCGCAGCCAAGGCGGGGAGAAGCCCAGCCUGCUGCUGGGUGAAACAACAAGCUCUGCAGGUCAGGAAGCUGUGGUCUUGUGCUGCAUGGUAUCUGCACAGAGCCGCCUGCCGAGAGCGAGCUGAAGAGUGGGAGAGCUUGGAUCGAGAUGCUCGGAAUGUUUGGGAGCCCCUGAUGAGGAGCAGACUUGUGGUUUAAAGGAGACAAAGUUCUCUGAGUUGACUGGCAAGGAAGCAAGCAUGGCUGGAUUCCUGUUCUUCACACUCACCAGCUUCUGAGGUUCUGCAAACGCUCAGCCCUGCAGCGGCGCCCCAUGGCUGUGAACUACAGUGAGGGGCUGCUGGGACCCCCACCCCUGGUGGCCCUCGCUGUCCUGGCCCUGCUCGGAGGCCUGGUUUACCUGUGCACCCUGUGUGCUGCCUGCCGACGCCAUGGCAGGAGAAAGAAGGUCCCUCCAGACGGCGUGAAGCUGGUGGAUGAGUCCCUGCUCAGACAGACACAGCUGCGCUCGCUCAGCAAGUCAGACACGAGGCUCCACGAGCUGUACCGCCUGAAGGCCAAGGACAACAACCAGCGCCCGGCCAGCCUGGAUUUCCCCCUCUCCUCACUGCCUCCUGACUCCCUGCACAGCUCCGUCCUCCUGCACCGCCAGCUGCCCCUGAUCCCCAGGUCUGAGCCUGCAGCCCCUGACCAGACCUACUCCAACCUGCUCUUCGCCCCGCCGCAUCGUGCACCCCCGGACACGCUCUACGAGUGCCUGGCAAUGGGGGAGGAUGAUGUACCUUCUGCCACUGGGACCCCAGCGUCCCCCCUCCGCGUCAGGCAAGGGGCUGCUGACUAUGCCUGCGUCCGGAAGGUGAAGAAGACUGUGCCAGAGGAGCAGGAGGGGGCCGUGGCAGGGCCCUCUACAGCCCCACAGUGCUGGGAAGGUGCAAACGAUGCACCCCGUCUGAAGCUGGAAGAUAUGUACUCAACGGUGUGCAA
rnacentral:lncRNA from 1 species